rnacentral:tRNA from 1 species
CAGUAAUUAGUUUAAUUUAAAAUGUAAUGUUUGGGACAUUGAGAUUUUAUUAUUGA